UUUUCUCACAACCUUCUUCUUACACUAAAUAUGUUCCUACUUUUGUUUUCAUUAUGCGGUGUAUGACAUAUAGCUUUACAUCUCAGUUGAAUUUGAGCUCAGCCACAAUCGAGAAGUUUAAAUCAAUUGAAGUGAACAACUCUUCAAAAUCCUGGAUCAUGGAUAUAAUAUACAUUCUAUAACUGAUGCUUUGAUGGGAGCCAUUACAACUUUUACUGUGUGGAUUCUAUAUGUAUUUAUCACUUGCAUAAUUUGUAAUUGUUAGUUAAAAAAAAAAAAUUAUUUUUAUGACUAUUAAUGUUAGUUUUUUGUCGCCUUGAAGCUCCUUUUUCCUUAAUGUGUAAUCUUUUGCAAAAAGACUUCAUUUUUAUGGGUAUUUAGCUUUCAUUUU